GACGAACGCUGGCGGCGUGCUUAACACAUGCAAGUCGAACGGAAAGGCCCUGCUGGUGUGGGGUGCUCGAGUGGCGAACGGGUGAGUAACACGUGAGUAACCUGCCCUUGACUUUGGGAUAACUUCAGGAAACUGGGGCUAAUACCGGAUAGGAGCGCCUGCUGCAUGGUGGGGGUUGGAAAGUUUCGGCGGUUGGGGAUGGACUCGCGGCUUAUCAGCUUGUUGGUGGGGUAGUGGCUUACCAAGGCUUUGACGGGUAGCCGGCCUGAGAGGGUGACCGGCCACAUUGGGACUGAGAUACGGCACAGACUCCUACGGGAGGCAGCAGUGGGGAAUAUUGCACAAUGGGCGGAAGCCUGAUGCAGCAACGCCGCGUGCGGGAUGACGGCCUUCGGGUUGUAAACCGCUUUCGCAUGUGACGAAGCGUGAGUGACGGUAAUGGGUAAAGAAGCACCGGCUAACUACGUG
rnacentral:rRNA from 1 species